AUUGAACGCUGGCGGCAGGCCUAACACAUGCAAGUCGAACGGUAACAGGAAGCAGCUUGCUGCUUUGCUGACGAGUGGCGGACGGGUGAGUAAUAUCUGGGAAACUGCCCGAUGGAGGGGGAUAACUACUGGAAACGGUAGCUAAUACCGCAUAACGUCGCAAGACCAAAGAGGGGGACCUUAGGGCCUCUUGCCAUCGGAUGUGCCCAGAUGGGAUUAGCUAGUAGGUGGGGUAACGGCUCACCUAGGCGACGAUCCCUAGCUGGUCUGAGAGGAUGACCAGCCACACUGGAACUGAGACACGGUCCAGACUCCUACGGGAGGCAGCAGUGGGGAAUAUUGCACAAUGGGCGCAAGCCUGAUGCAGCCAUGCCGCGUGUAUGAAGAAGGCCUUCGGGUUGUAAAGUACUUUCAGCGGGGAGGAAGGGAGUAAAGUUAAUACCUUUGCUCAUUGACGUUACCCGCAGAAGAAGCACCGGCUAACUCCGUG
rnacentral:rRNA from 1 species